CCAAGCUGUAGCGCACAGAGAUAAGCUGCGGCUGACAUCUCUCCAGCCGGCCGAAGCAGCCAAACCGUCCUCGACUCUGGUGAGUCAAUGAAAUGUAGAGCUCAUUGUGGCCGAAGUGGACAAUUUCCUGGAAAACAGCUGGUCAAAUGCCUGCCUUUCAAGUAAACAUCCUCCCCGGAGAAGGUCUUUCUUAGCACCAUCCAGCUCAGCACGGUCAUUUCUGCAGUCCACGUUCCUGUCUAUUGCUCAGAAGAUUCUAGAAGAAUCAGGGGUGAAAUGAGAGCCAAGCCUUACUGUUCCCACCACUGUAUUCAUGCCGGUUCUGGAAGGUUGAAUUUUAUUUUAGCACCUUCUCAUACUCUAGGAGGACAGAGGCAGAAGAAUUCAAUGCACCAUACAUCAGUUAGUAACUUAAACAAUAGUAGAAGUGCGUUUUAUACCCAGGCUGUCUGACUUAAGAACACAUAGGCCCUUAAGCAUGUGUUCUGGACCCCAAGGUCAAAGGUCUCCCUUUAAUUUCAGUAGCUGUAGCUGUUAUCCAAGGACAGUGAGCCCAGCAUCCCAAUAGAGGAAGUGUGCAGAUGUGGGAAUCUGUGCUACUGAGCUUGUACGGAAAGAAUUUAUGGAUUGAUAUUGAGUCACGGUGGAGAAGGGAAGACAAAGAAAAAGUCCAUAAAGAGCAAAAUAGGGAGUGACACGGAGGGAGAUGGACUAGAGCUAAAGCACUCACACAUUCUUGCGGGGGGGUGGUGGUGAAGAAGGUUCAAGAAUAUUCUGCUGAAGAGGAAUUGCAGACAGGCAAGACCUACAUGAUCUGACUCACAUGUGGGAACUUGGAAAGCUGAUCUCAGAGAACAGUGUUCCCCAGAUGCUGGGAAGGGGGACGUUGGGGGAUAAGGGACCAUGGAUCUUAGGAACGAAGCUACAGUUAGCCAGGAGCAAGUCUAAGGAAGUCACCCUGGAAUACCCAAGGGUGACGCACAGUGAUUUGUGUGUUUUAACUCAGCUGGAAGAAAGGAUUUUGGACCUCUCUGACAGAAGGAAUGAUGACGGUCUCAGGUGGCACACAUGCUAACCACCCCCAUCUGAUAAUAACACGCCGUGCACAGGAUCUAAAUAUCACAUCCUACUCUAUGUGUAGUUAUUAAAUUCAAGAGUUGCAUGGGCUAGAGAGAUGGCUGUGAUGGUUUGUAUAUGCUCUGUCUACGUAGUGGCAUUACUAGAAGGUGUGGCCUUGUUCCUGCAGGUGUGUCACUGUGGGCGUGGGCUUUAAGGACCCCACCCCACCCCCAUCCUUGCUGCCUGGAAGCCAGUAUUCUGCUAGCAGCCUUCAGAUGAAGAACUCUCAGCUCCUCCUGUACCAU
rnacentral:lncRNA from 1 species